rnacentral:ncRNA from 1 species
ACUUCGGAGAACCUCAUUAAAUUGAGUGCCGAAGGGGCAAGGCGCAAGCCGCGGAUUGCAAUGCUUACUUAAAGGAUAGCAAAUGUGCGGAGGCUGCCGAAACUCUCAGGCAAAAGGACGGAGAC